AUGGAUAUGUGGCACGUCGGCGGAGGCCGCUGCGGCGCGGUGCUACGUCAUGAAGCGGCGUCCGAGAAGACUUGUGUUUGAGCUCAUUGGCAUCGACGGCGUUUGUCGCCGAGGGACGCCAGGCGUGUGUCGCCGGCGGAGAAGGAACUCGGCGUAUGUCGCUGGAGACGUGACAGAGCACGGUGCGACCGGCGUCGGUGCGCCAGGUCGGGUCCGUGGACUGGGUCACCGUCGUGGCGACGACAUCGACAUGAGUUACUCCGGCGACGACGAGGCCGUGGCUUAGGGGGGGUGUUGGAAUAGGCCACGGCGUCUGAUACGGUCGGGCUCGUCGAGCGCGUCGGGUGCGCGCGGGGCGUGCGGGAUGCUCCACCAUGGCGACUGUGCAUGCUGCGUGAAGGUGCGCAUGUGCUGGAUAAUUAGUUGGUGCAAGAAGUAGUAGGCCACGUUGAGACGUGGAGUUAGUUUCAAAAUAUGGCUGAGUCGUGCUGGUUGUUGGAGUGAUUUCAGGAGUAGGAUAAGGCCUGAUAGUGAUUUCAGGAGUAGGAUAAGGCCUGAUAGUGCAUGAAUAGGUUAGUGGGAUUAGUUGCCCGAGAGAGGUGGCUGGCCGGUGCGUGUAUGGUCUUGUAUAUAUAUAUGCGUCAAUGAGCAAUGAGAAAAGUGGCCGUGAGGGCCGGAGAAAGAUCUAGCAUUGUGUACACCAAGGGAAUGGCCUCACGGCAAAGCUCUUGUGGUCUCCCUUGGUACAUGUGUGUGUGUUUCUUCUUGUCUUGUGUGUUCUUAUGAGACACCAUGAAAGAGAAGAGAGAGUUGUGCGAGAGGAGGAAGAAGAACAGCGGCGAUGUGAGGUGGCGGCGCCAACAAUUGGCAUCAGAGCGACCAGGUUCGAGGGGCGGCCGUGGCGUGCGGCGGUGUCCAUGGCGCGCGGGGUGAGCGCGGCGGACAUGGAGGCAUCGGCUGCGGUGCACGGCAAGUCUGCGGCGAUGCAGUGUGAUGUCGUGUGUGCGACGAGCAGCGGCGGUCGCGGAGGCGAGCAGGUCGCGGAGGACCUGCGUGGUGGCGCCGAGGCCGUGGCGGCUCAGCACGACGACCGUGAAGGCGCAGUGGCACGUGGCAUGGAGAUGCGGCGCGUUGGCGGAGGCCGCUGCGGCGCGGUGCUAUGCCAUGAAGCAGCGUCCGGGAAGACUUGCGUUUGAGCUCGUUGGCAUCGACAGCGUUUGUCGCCGAGGGACGCCAGGCGUGUGUCGUCGGCGGAGAAGGAACUCGGCGUAUGUCGCCGGAGACGUGACGAAGCACGGUGCAACCGGUGUCGGUGCGCCAGCUCAGGUCCGCGAGCUGGGUCACUGUCGUGGCGACAACAUCGACAUGAGUUACUCUGGCGACGACGUGGCCGUGGCUUUGGGGGGUGUUGGAAUAAGCCACGGCGUCUGGUGCGGUCGGACUCGUCGGACGCGUCAGGUGCGCGCGGGGCGUGUGGGACGCUCCACCGCGCCGAGUGUGCGUGUUUAAUGAAGCUGCGGAUGUGCUGGAGAAUUAGUUGGUGCACGAAGUAGUAGGCCACGUUGAGACGUGGAGUUAGUUUUUAGAUAUGGCUGAGUCGUGCUGGUUGUUGGAGUGAUUCCAAUUGUAGGAUAAGGCCUGAUAGUGCAUGCAUAGGUUAGUGGGAUUAGUUGCCCGGGAGGGGUGGCUGGCCGGUGCGUGUAUUGUCUUGUAUAUAUAUGCGUCAAUGAGCAAUGAGAAAAGUGGCCGUGAGGGCUGGAGAAAAAUGUAGCAUUGUGUACACCAAGGAAAUGGCCUAACGGCAUAGCUCUUGUGGUCUCUCUUGGUACAUGUGUGUGUGUGUUUCUUCUUGUCUUGUGUGUUCUUAUGAGACACCAUGAAAGAGAAGAGAGAGUUGUGCGAAAGGAGGAAGAAGAACAGCGGCGCUGUGAGGAGGCGGCGCCAACAUUUAGGAGCCAAUCUUCUUGAUUUCCUAUGCCAAAAUUCCACUUGAUCAAUUAUAAACAACUUGAUGUGCAUAUUUAAC
rnacentral:lncRNA from 1 species